GUAGGUGGCAAGCGUUGUCCGGAAUUAUUGGGCGUAAAGCGCGCGCAGGCGGUUCUUUAAGUCUGACGUGAAAGCCCACGGGCUCAACCGUGGAGGGUCAUUGGAAACUGGAGAACUUGAGUACAGAAGAGGAAAGCGGAAUUCCACGUGUAGCAGUGAAAUGCGUAGAGAUGUGGAGGAACACCAGUGGCGAAGGCGGCUUUCUGGUCUGUAACUGACGCUGAGGCGCGAAAGCGUGGGGAGUAAACAGGAUUAGAUACCCUGGUAGUCCACGCCGUAAACGAUGAGUGCUAAGUGUUAGGGGGUUUCCGCCCCUUAGUGCUGCAGCUAACGCAUUAAGCACUCCGCCUGGGGAGUACGGCCGCAAAGGCUG
rnacentral:rRNA from 1 species